CAGUAGCCGCGGUAAUACGUAGGGUGCGAGCGUUAAUCGGAAUUACUGGGCGUAAAGCGUGCGCAGGCGGUUGUGUAAGACAGGUGUGAAAUCCCCGGGCUUAACCUGGGAACUGCGCUUGUGACUGCACAGCUAGAGUAUGGCAGAGGGGGGUGGAAUUCCACGUGUAGCAGUGAAAUGCGUAGAGAUGUGGAGGAACACCGAUGGCGAAGGCAGCCCCCUGGGCCAAUACUGACGCUCAUGCACGAAAGCGUGGGGAGCAAACAGGAUUAGAUACCCCAGUAGUCCCUGUCUCUUAUAU
rnacentral:rRNA from 1 species